UAUAUAAUUCAUGAAUGAUUAAACCCAAAGAUCCUCACUCGUUGGUCUUUAUAUAGUCUUUGACCUCCUUUAAUCUCUCCACAUCUUUCUCUCUCUCUCUCUCAAGAUGGUAAAAGACAAAAAUCUCACGGAGACAUUUCUCUCUACGGCGGAUGAACGUCCUGCUGAUCUUCCUUUCUCACCGGCCGACGAUAUAUCUCCGAUCACAACCGUUGGUGGAUUCGUUAGGGAGUUUAACGUGGAGACCAAGAAGCUUUGGUACUUAGCCGGCCCUGCCAUUUUCACGUCGAUGAACCAAUAUUCUCUCGGCGCUGUAACUCAGGUUUUCGCCGGUCACAUCAGCACCGUCUCUCUUGCUGCCGUCUCCGUCGAAAACUCAGUCGUCGCCGGCUUCUCAUUCGGGAUCAUGCUUGGAAUGGGAAGUGCGUUAGAAACGCUAUGUGGACAAGCGUUUGGAGCGGGGAAAUUGUCAAUGCUUGGCGUUUACUUACAACGAUCAUGGGUGAUCCUAAACGUGACCGCUCUUAUCCUCACUCUCCUUUACAUUUUCGCGGCCCCAAUCCUCGCGUUCAUCGGCCAAACGGCCGCGAUCUCUAGCGCCGCCGGGAUAUUUUCCAUCUACAUGAUCCCUCAAAUCUUUGCUUACGCCGUUAACUUCCCAACCGCUAAGUUCUUACAGUCGCAAAGCAAGAUCAUGGUCAUGGCCGCGAUCUCGGCUGUUGCACUUGUUGUACACGUGCCCCUCACGUGGUUUGUCAUUGAGAGGCUCCAGUGGGGUAUGCCGGGUCUAGCCGUCGUGCUUAAUCUCUCGUGGUGGUUAAUUGUCACGGCUCAGCUCGUGUACAUAUUUAGUGGUACGUGUGGUGAGGCUUGGUCUGGUUUAUCGUGGGAGGCUUUUCAUCAUCUAUGGAGUUUCGUUAGAUUGUCUUUGGCUUCUGCUGUUAUGCUCUGUUUGGAGGUAUGGUACUUUAUGGCAAUCAUAUUAUUUGCUGGAUAUUUGAAGGAUGCUGAAAUCUCCGUAGCCGCCCUCUCCAUCUGCAUGAAUAUAUUGGGAUGGACGGCAAUGAUUGCUAUUGGGAUGAACACCGCCGUAAGUGUGAGAGUGUCUAAUGAAUUAGGAGCUAACCAUCCAAGAACCGCGAAGUUCUCACUACUGGUAGCAGUGAUAACAUCGACGCUGAUAGGAUUCAUUGUAUCAAUGGUUCUACUCAUCUUUAGAGACCAAUAUCCAUCUCUUUUUGUGAAAGACGAACAAGUCAUCAUUCUUGUUAAAGAACUCACGCCAAUACUUGCACUCUCCAUUGUCAUCAACAACGUCCAGCCUGUCUUAUCAGAUGACUGGCUCCUCUCUAACCGCCGUUACUCCCAACACCGAUAAGCCCUUUGGAAUCACACAGAUUCGAGGCUACAUCCCCAUCCAGCUUGACAUGAACAAGCUGAACUACGACGUCUGGCGCGAGCUGUUCGAGACCCACUGCAGCAGCUUUGGUGUUUUGGGACAUCUCGAUGGCUCUUCCGUGCCAACUGAUGAUGAUGAAAAGCAGUGGAAAGAACGUGAUGGGCUUGUAAAAAUGUGGAUCUAUGGCACCGUGUCGGAACAACUCCUCGACACCAUCCUCAAGGCCAAGUCCAAAGCGCGUGACAUAUGGCUCACGCUUGAAGAGUUAUUUCGUGACAACAAGGAGGCACGGUCACUUCAGUAUGACAAUGAACUCCGUACUCUUGAGAUCGGCGAUAUGAGUAUCACCGACUACAGUCACAAAUUGAAAUCCCUAUCUGAUCUGCUGGCCAACCUUGACUCACCCGUCACCGAUCCCGCGUUGGUGAUGCAUAUGCUGAAUGGCUUGUCCGAAAAGUUUGACAGCAUCAUCAAUGUCAUUCAACACCAGACUCCCUUUCCGUCAUUCACCAAGGCCCGCUCAAUGCUACUGAUGGAAGAAAAGCGACUUGACAAGCAAGUUCGCCCUGCUCCACAACACACCACCAACACUUCCUCACCAACAGUCCUGUUCACCAACUCGGAUCACCAACAACAUUCCAACUCGCAAAACUAUCACCAUAACAACACCAACAACAACAACUCGGGACGCGGCUACAACACCAACAACCGGAAAAGAGGACGUGGUCGUGGUCGUAACAACUGGAACUCCAAUCAGUUUGGUUAUCCACCUACAUGGGGGUACAACCUGCCUCCUUGGGCGUACCAACCACCAUAUGGCGGACAACCAUCGUAUGCACCUCCACCAUUACACCAUGCCUACUCCACACUGUAUGCUGCACCGGGAGGAUCUCCGGUUCACUACUCUCCUCCCCCUCGCUCACAUAAUGAAGCUCACUUCCUUCAACCAGCUUCCACGCCACAACUCACUGCUUUGCCACAGGCUUUUAGCACUAUGACGUUGCAGGAUCCAGCGGGUCAGUCAUGAAUUAUGGACACCGGUGCUACUGAUCAUGUUGCCACAAAGCCAGGAUCUAUGGACCCGGACCAAGCUCCUGCGCUGCAACAGUGAUGGCCCGUUGUACACCAUCACGCCACCAGUUUCACCUGCUUACGCCUUCUCCAUUCAAGCGCCUACAGGGGACUUGUGGCAUCGCCGUCUCGGCCACACGGGCAUCUCCACUCUGCAAUCUCUUGCUUCUUCGGGUUUUAUUUAUUUUUCAAAGACAGACCUGACAAAUUUGUGUCAUGCGUGUCAACUAGGAAAACACGUCUGUUUACCAUUUUUUAAUUCAAAUUCGAUUGUCUCCACCCCUUUUGAGUUGAUUCAUUCCGAUUUGUGGAAAUCCCCUGUUUCGAGUAUUAGUGGUGUUAAAUACUAUCUUAUUUUUCUUGAUGAUUUUAGUCAUUAUGUGUGGGUCUACCCUCUCAAACAAAAGAGUGAUGCGUUCAGUCGGUUUCUUCAUUUCUCGGCUAUCGUCCGCACACAGUUUCACCACGGCAUCUCCUUCUUGCAAUGUGACAACAGUGGUGAGUUCAACAACCGCCACUUUCGUGACCAUCUUGCUUCUACCGGUACUGGUUUCCGGUUCUCGUGUCCUCACACAUCUCAACAGAAUGGCAAGGCUGAACGGAUGCUACGCACAAUCAAUAAUCUCAUUCGCAGCCUCCUUAUUCAUGCUCACAUGCCACUCGGUUACUGGGUGGAAGCACUACACACCGCGACACACAUCCUCAACCUAUUACCAUCCGCUGCCAUCAAUAAUGAGGUCCCAUUUACUCGCCUUUUCAAUAAAACACCUCGCUACGACCACCUCCGUGUGUUUGGGUCUCUUUGCUACCCUAACCUUCUCGCCACCUCCGUCCACAAACUAGCUCCACGGUCUACUGCAUGCGUCUUCCUCGGCUAUCCCUCUGAUCAACGGGGGUUUCGUUGCCUUGAUAUACACUCCAAGCGUAUUAUCCUAUCCCGCCAUGUGGUGUUUGGCGAUAAUGUUUUCCCGUUCGCUCACUCUCCGGCACCGCGACCACCAGAGGAAAUCUUUGUCCCCAUGACACCAAUUCCUCGGCUUCCUCCACUUCCUCUCUCUCCGUCGUCUCCCUUGGUGGUCACUCCGCCCGUUGAACCACCUCCUGCUCCCGCUCCUUCUCAUCCCAUGCAGACACGCGACAAAUCUGGCAUUACAAAACCGGUUCAUAGACUUUGUCUCCACACCUCUACCGUAUCCCCUCUACCUUUGAAUCAUAUACAGGCGGCUCGGGAUCCUAAUUGGAAUCCGGCAAUGGGAGAGGAAUAUAGUACUCUUAUUAAAAUGGGGACGUGGUGCCUUGUGCCACGGCCCAAGAAUACUAAUAUCAUUCGCUCCAUGUGGUUAUACAAGCACAAGUUUGACUCAAAUGGCAGAUUGUCUCGCUACAAGGCUCGACUGGUUGCGAAUGGCAACUCUCAACUCCCUGGCGUUGACUGUGAUGAGACUUUUAGUCCGGUGGUCAAACCAGCAACAAUUCGCGCUGUCUUACACGUGGCUACGGCGUAUGAUUGGCCGCUCCGUCAGCUUGAUGUGAAGAAUGCAUUCCUCGUACGCUGUUCAGCAGGUGUGUCUUUUUAUGCAUGAUCCACGUGAGGUUCACUUCAAUGCCUUGAAGCGCAUUCUUCGCUACGUCAAGGGCACCAUUUCUCAUGGUUUCCAGCUCUAUCGGUCCUCUCCUACGGCUAUGGUUGCUUAUUCUGAUGCAGAUUGGGCGGGAUGUCCUUCAACACGUCGUUCCACGUCCGGAUAUUGUGUGUUUAUCGGUCCCAACCUCAUCUCCUGGUCUGCGAAACGACAACACACUGUCUCCCAGUCCAGUGCUGAGGCUGAGUACAGAGGUGUCGGUAAUGCCGUUGCCGAGCUUACGUGGCUACGUAAUCUGUGUGGAAAUGCGGGUUCCGAUACCAAAGACUUCCCUUGUCUUUUGUGACAACGUCAGUGCCGUCUAUCUUGCGACCAACCCGGUCCAGCAUCAACGCACCAAACAUGUCGAGAUCGAUAUUCAUUUUGUUCGAGAACGUGUUGCCCUUGGAUACAUUAAGGUCUUUCAUGUUCCUUCUACCCUCCAGUACGCAGAUAUCUUCACCAAAGGCCUUCCUACUACGCUAUUUCAAGAAUUUUGUUCCAGCCUGAGCGUUCGGUCACCUCCGGCUCUGACUGUGGGGGUGUUAGAGAGAAUAUAUACGUAUCUUAUAUUUAUGUAUAUCCUAUGUAGAUUUUACCAUAUCUCGUGUAAACAUUAUCUCUCUUUUCACGGAGUUUUACAUAAUUACAACUAUAACUCGAUUAAGACAUUGGUUAUUUGAGAAGCUUAAAUAAUGAUUUUGAUGG